GACGAACGCUGGCGGCGUGCUUAACACAUGCAAGUCGAACGGAAAGGCCCUGCUUUUGUGGGGUGCUCGAGUGGCGAACGGGUGAGUAACACGUGAGUAACCUGCCCUUGACUUUGGGAUAACUUCAGGAAACUGGGGCUAAUACCGGAUAGGAGCUCCUGCUGCAUGGUGGUGGUUGGAAAGUUUCGGCGGUUGGGGAUGGACUCGCGGCUUAUCAGCUUGUUGGUGGGGUAGUGGCUUACCAAGGCUUUGACGGGUAGCCGGCCUGAGAGGGUGACCGGCCACAUUGGGACUGAGAUACGGCCCAGACUCCUACGGGAGGCAGCAGUGGGGAAUAUUGCACAAUGGGCGGAAGCCUGAUGCAGCAACGCCGCGUGCGGGAUGACGGCCUUCGGGUUGUAAACCGCUUUCGCCUGUGACGAGGCGUGAGUGACGGUAAUGGGUAAAGAAGCACCGGCUAACUACGUG
rnacentral:rRNA from 1 species